rnacentral:rRNA from 1 species
GAUGAACGCUAGCGGCAGGCCUAAUACAUGCAAGUCGAACGAGAUUAAGAGGCUUGCUUCUUAUGAAAGUGGCGCACGGGUGCGUAACGCGUAUGCAACCUACCUUAAUCAGGGGGAUAGCCCGAAGAAAUUCGGAUUAAGACCGCAUAAAAACACAGGAUAGCAUUAUCCAAUGUUCAAAUAUUUAUAGGAUUAAGAUGGGCAUGCGUGUCAUUAGCUAGUUGGCGGGGUAACGGCCCACCAAGGCGACGAUGACUAGGGGAUCUGAGAGGAUGACCCCCCGCAAUUGAACUGAGGCACGGACUACAAUGCUACGGGAGACAGCAGUAAAGAAGAUUGAGGGAGGGAGGGUACUCUAAACCAACCACGCCGGGUACAAGAAGACAGCGGUCUGGGAGGUAAACUGCUUUGAAUCAGAAACAAACGUUUAAACGUGUAGGGAGCUGAAGGUACCGAAAGAAUAAGGAUCGGCUAACUCCGUG